UUUUAUGAGAAGAGAGAAGUGGAAAAGUUGCUGUUUUUUUUUUCCCCUUCUCAAUAGAAAGAAAAAAAUUGCUUCACCUACCUCUAGUGCUUGAAGAUUUUCGAGGCCGUAAAAGUUUUAUGUACUAGGAAUUUUAUAGUAACUUGGGCCCUGCAACUUUUCUGCUUUUCAUUCUAGAAUCAGUUACAUCCCAGAUGUACCAAGUUAAUGGAGAAUAGGAUAUGAUUCUCAAGAUCAUAGAAAUAGAACUAUAACUCAUACUUAGUUGUUUGAUGCCUUCGUGCCUUCUGUUAAGCAGAGUCUUAAAGCCAAGUUUAAAUGAAAGUUCUGUCCAUAAGGCACCAAUGUUUCCGAUGCCAGUUUUGGCGAUGAACUGCAUAAAACAUGGACGCUAAGGAUUCUCCAACAGCAAACUCCUUUCCUAAAAAGAAUUGCAACUUCAUCCAGAUUGUGGUGGAUACAGGUAAUUCUGAUGUGCCUCUUACAGUUACAAUAUGCUAGCCUUCUAAAAGUACACGUUUUCAGCGCCACUACCCCAGAAUCAGUCAGAGCUGCUCUAAGUUUAGUUACAAUGAAUUGUCUCCUCGGAACAAAGGAUAGAUCAAGGAGAAAGUCUUCGUGGAUCACGAGGUUCAUGAGUACGCUGAGCUGCAGAUGAUGAUGGAAGUAUCGAUGCAGGUGAUGAUAUUCAAGUAGAUCUAUUGGUGUAAACUGAUGCAUCUACUUGUCACCAUUUAGGUUUAUUAUAUCUAAAGCUUUCAGGUAGAUAUUUUAACUCACACUUCAAAAAAAAAGUUGAAUAUUUUGAUUGAC